UCAGAUUUAGAUCUACAAUCCACCUGGAAUUGAUUUUUGUAUAUGCAGUGAGAGGUCCCACACUUAUGGGGAAAGCAUCACCCAAAAGUGACAAUGUCUAGAGGCAGGAAUCAUGGAGGCUUCCUUAACUGUCUGUCUGCAACAACAGGUGCCAGAGAAGACACUGCAGGGUAGAGAUCAAAGGAAUCUUAGUAAUUGUUCAAUCCAAUCUCCACACUUUAAAGAUGAAGAAACUGGUAUUGAGAAAAAUGCACAGCUUACCCAAGGUUGCACUGCCG